rnacentral:rRNA from 1 species
UACGGAGGGUGCGAGCGUUAUCCGGAAUUACUGGGUUUAAAGGGCGCGUAGGCGGCUUGUUAAGUCAGGAGUGAAAGUUUGCGGCUCAACCGUAAAAUUGCUUUUGAUACUGGCAGGCUAGAAUCAGGAUGAGGUCAGCGGAAUGUGGCAUGUAGCGGUGAAAUGCAUAGAUAUGCCAUAGAACACCAAUUGCGAAGGCAGCUGGCUAGACCUGGAUUGACGCUGAGGUACGAAAGCGUGGGGAUCAAACAGG